CGCCCGCACCCCUCCCUCCUCCCUCGUCUCAGCCGCCACCCCCACGAACCCUAGUUGCGCCCUCCUGCAUCCUCCCCUCCCUGGUCCGCCCCAAGAUCCUCCUCCUCCGUCCUCACAUGCUCCACCCUGAGCACGCCGUCGGCGAGGCGCACCGCAAGGCCCCGGAGCAACUCAGCCAGAGCCCCUCCGUACAGGAGGAACCCCGCGGCCAGCGCAACCAACAACGGUGGCGCAUACAAGAGCUCGGCCUUGAUGGGCCGCGCGCUGUACGCGAGGGUCACGUCCGCGCUGGAGGGCAGCAACGAGCACAUGGUGUGGUACAAGGAGGUGCGCAGGGAGAAGGUGCACGGCUCCGCCUAGCACCAUGUGUGCGGCGGCGGGGACAGGCAACCACGGGCAGAUUUUGGGGAGCGGCACGAGCAUCAAGAAAUGGCUGAUUCCAAGGCAUGUCAAGAUCAAGGAUAUUUAAAGUUGUUUCUUCUAUCGAUGGAAGAUUUCAGAUACUUCUGUAGAUGAAUUUCUAGGAUAAGAUACAUUGUGUUAAUUGUCCCAAAGAUGGAACGAUUUGCUCCAUGGAAAUUAUCUCCUUAGUUGCAUUCCAUUUACAGUUCAUGUUCAUUGCCUUGCUGUGGUUGCACCGUGGUCUGUGGGGAACAUGAACAAAUACCUUUGCUACAACCGAGGUCUUAAAAGACCAGUCAAGGAGAGAUAGGUUCGGAACGAACUUUUUCUUCAUAAUUUUGUAGGGGUUGUUAUGCUCUGUCCCUCGAGGAAGAAAUAGAAGUUGAGGGGAAGCUAUUGCAUGCUGGGAAAUCAGUUGGUGCUGUCUAUGUUGGUUUCCGGAAGAAAAGGACCGGCAAAUUGAUGGCUCAGGCACGUCGUACAAAGUACCUUGCUGUAUCUUGCAGAUUGUGAGGAUUCCCUUCUGUUGUAAGAUAAAAACCUGGUUAUGUGUUGCAUCUCAAAAUCAAGAUGUUGAUUCGAGAAGAGAAAGGAGUUGUCGGCGUGGUGUGGUGCGAGACCUUUGUCCCGGAGCAUGCAGAUUGUCAGUAUAAAGUAAUGGGUAUCAAUGUUUUCUCAUACAUAUGAUUCUGAAGUAAUAGAGAGCAGGAAGUGGUAGGCUUCAUGCUUUAUACAUCGUGUAUAUACGCAUAAAGUACACCCACAUAAACUAUAGUUCGUAAUAUCGGCAGCAAACAGAGGCACAACUAAGUAGUAGCAUGUCCCUAUUUUAAAUGGGUAAAAAAAGCGCUUAUCAAAAGAACAGUAUCUCUGUUACAUGAUAAGAACGAAUGUUUGCUUUUAUGCAUAUGUGUAAAAGCACUCCACUAUCAUGCAAAUAGUAUCAUGUUCAGAGCCUUAAUAAUGGCAGUUGUAAACCCAAAAUAAUCCAUCUUAUAAUUUAGUAUACAAAACAGAUUCCGGUGAGAAUUACUCCAAUAAGAAUGCUAGCUGCUACCAUAUAUCUAAUUGGUCCCAGAUUGAAAAUUUCAGUUGUUAAUCUCCGAAUGCAGUAUGCACUUGUGCUGAAACAUAGAGCGUGUGCAGUGUUGCUCUGUACAAGAAUAAAAAAUCUCGGUUGUUAAUCUCUGAAUGAAGAAGGAUCAUGGUUCCCCACCUCUCUACUACUCAUAUUAAUGCCACCCUUUGCUAAUUUAUCUUUGGUUGUUCAAUGCAUGAUAACACUUUUUGAAUUUGCAACAUAUGAUACCUUCAUCUUCUGAGUAGGAAGUCACUGGAUAAUAUAAUUAGACGAAUACAACGUUAGAAGAUGCCACAACCUCGAAUAUACCUAAAUCUGGAAAAACAAUUGGUUAGGUAGGAGGUCUAUUGACACAAUUUCCAAUUUUUUAGUGCAAGAUGAACUCAGUUUGGGGUUCUUCAUCUAUUCUCAGCGAGUGUUAGUUUUGUAUUUUGUGUGUACUUCCACUUAAUAAUUAAAAAUUUCAUGAUACAUCCGAUUUUAUAAAGGGCUACCUCACAAGCAUUUGAUAGUAAGAGAAUUAGUCCAUGAUAUUGCCUCAACUGCAUGUAAUGACUGAUAAGCAAGCUAUUCUCCAAAAUAAGAUUACUGGUUGAUCUGCUUACCACCUUCUCAUUUCAGGCCCUCUUGCUAUAGUCAUGUGAAAGGAUGGUGUUCGGAGCUAUAUAUUGGAAAAUAUUUCUUGGCAUUCCAUUAAAUUUUCGAGUGUUCUCCAACUGCAGCGGCCAUGUCGUGACUGUCGUGUUGAGUUCUUGCACAAGCACAACCUCUAGCCCAGUGAGCACACUCACCCCACUUAGUUUUAUGGUCUUGGUCUGUUUUACUGUACUGAUAAUACAUAGAAGAUGUGCCGGUGAGUAGAAAUGCUUACUGGAUUUUGCAUCUCUCCCUUCAACAGUUUUGAAUGUAGCAUCAUCUGCUAUUAAUGUCAUUCUGCCGCCAGCAAAUUACUCACCUGGCAUUUUUGCUCUGAAUGAAAUACACAGACAACAUCUGUUGUUUAUCGUCUGCAAUAUGAUUGCUUUUACAGGCUUGGUUGAGUUCCUCUUUAUUUUCUAAGAAAUUAUGCAUUGGACUUGGCACGGAACUGCUGCAUUGUUAUCAAUUUGGCACUUGGUUGUUCGUCGCCGCUGAGCUACUCUAAGCAAAUUUAUUUAUCUGUGCCUUAAAAGUGUUCGACUGAUUGAUCAUAAAGCUAUGCUGCAUAUUAUGCUCUUACGAACGGCAACCCUGUUUUGCUACAUUGGUCUGGCGUUAGGUACGGAAAAGAUUACAGGUAUCACUUAGAAUCUCGGAGCUAUCAAACAAUUCUUCUUGAUUAGUACUACUACAUGAUACUACGAUAAUAUACAUUGUAACUGCUCUUUCCUGAGUGAAUCUAUUUAAUUGUGCCUUAAAAGUGCUCGAUGGAUUGACCGUAAAGCUAUGCUGCAUAUUUUACCAUUGAAAGUGUGGACAUAUAGUUCUCCACAAAUGUUAUACCCCCUGCUGCAAUUAUUGACCCUUUUAGCAUUCAAUCAGAAACCAAGACGGCAAUCCUCCAAACUUUUCAGUAACUUCGUAUGUUUAAUAUCCUUUGAUAAUUGAUAGUAUGUUUCUCUUCAGAUAUAUACCGGAUUGAGUACUGCACUUUUAACUUAUAUACCAUGGUCGUGCCUGAUGAUUGCUGUCAUGCUUUGUGGGUUGCAUUGUCGCCAAUAGUUGCAAAACCACGCGGAGAUGUACAAAAUGCGUAAGCACUUAAGAUUGGGAUCACCUGGUGUAUUACCUGGGCCUUACUCUCAUGUACUACAAUUGUUCAAAGCUAUGAUUUAAAUGAUCAUGGUGUAUUACAGAAAAGUCUAAAAAUACUCAUUAUUGUCCAUGUUAGUCAGGAUCAAGAUUUCUGCGUAAUUAUUUUUAUUGUCAAAAAUUUUUAAGUACAAUGACAAUUGUUCCUGUUCGUUAGGCCUUGAUCUUACUAUCCUAUCUGAAUAUUCCUUUUAUGACAAUUCACAUAUCUAUGCGAUUGCCGGAGAUGUAACCAUGAGAGGAGCAGUGGCAAUACUCAAAAAAUUUAAAUGGCGUGGUUUGAGUAUAUCCAUUACAGGGAUCGCAAAAAUUAUGCACAACGACAUUGGCAUCAUAGACAAGUCGUUUGGGCUUCAAACUGCAGUGGGGAUUGCUCAGCAGGCGAUCGAUGCGGCACAUGUGGAGGUUGUGAGCUUUGUGAAUGGCAUCGGUCUUGUCAAACUUAGGGGCAGGAGUACGGGCCACAUUGCUAUCAAUGCCACCCUGAGCAGCCGAGAUGUUGACUGUUACUCCCUCCGUCCCAAAAUAGUAUAAAGUUAGUACAAAGUUGAGACACUUAUUGUGGGACGGAGGGAGUAUUUAUUUCUGGGAUUUUGAGUUCCUGGACCUCCGUCCCAAAAUAGUAUAAAGUUAAUACAAAGUUGAGACACUUAUUGUGGGACGGAGGGAGUAUUUAUUUCUGGGAUUUUGAGUUCCUGGAUUAAAGGAUAAAGACGAAGGAGCAUGCUGUCUGUUGUUGCUGAAGUCGCUGGUAAGGAGUUAUUCCACGGACUGAUGACCAGAAUCAAGAGCAGGAUGAGUCUGGCAACUGUCCUGCAUGGUUAAAAAACUAAUUUAUAUCUUUUGUUUCUUUGACGGUUAUACUCAUUUCUCUUAUCAUUGUAUAAAAUCAAUUGUAUUUUU